rnacentral:rRNA from 1 species
AUUGAACGCUGGCGGCAGGCCUAACACAUGCAAGUCGAGCGAGCGGCGGACGGGUGAGUAAUGCCUAGGAAUCUGCCUGGUAGUGGGGGAUAACGUCCGGAAACGGGCGCUAAUACCGCAUACCAUCAGAUGAACACAUAUGGGAUUAGCUUGUAGGUAAGGUAACGGCUUACCUAGGCGACGAUCCCUAGCUGGUCUGAGCGGAUGAUCAGCCACAGUGGGGCGGCGACACGGCCCAGACUCCGACGGCAGGCAGCAGUGGGGAAUAUUGCACAAUGGGCGCAAGCCUGAUGCAGCCAUGCCGCGUGUAUGAAGAAGGCCUUCGGGUUGUAAAGUACUGUCAGUCGGGAGGCGUUACCGACAGAGGAAGCACCGGCUAACGCCGUGCCAGCAGCCGCGGUAAUUC